CUUGCACCUAUCCUAAACUUGUAAGGUGCCCUAGAGAUGAUAGAGAAAGGGUGGUUGGUUCAGCUUGACUUCCUCCACUUGGACGUCGGGUACAAGAACGACUAUGAGAAUGUCCUCAAGGCGGUGACAGCGGUGAUGGCACCUCGGUUAGAUGAAGGAAUGUCAGGGCGCCCAGGUAGAGGACGGUGACUUCCUCCUCCUCCACUUGGAUGAUGCCGCCGCCGGGGACAAGAACAAACGACUAGAUUUUCUUGCUGCCACUUGUCUUGAAUAUGGACGGUGCCUUCGAGCUGAAAAAUGGGUGGCCGAGUUGCUGCUGCUACUUAGGCUUUCAUACGAUGGGAUGUUGUUGUUGACCGCUUCAACACGCCGAAGGUUCAGGUUUGGGUGC